ACCCGGCGUAAUGGUAUCGUUUCAGAAGUCUAAACUCUGAACGGUGUGGGUUCGACUCCCGCCCCGGGUU